rnacentral:rRNA from 1 species
CUCCUACGGGAGGCAGCAGUGGGGAAUUUUGGACAAUGGGCGCAAGCCUGAUCCAGCCAUGCCGCGUGCGGGAAGAAGGCCUUCGGGUUGUAAACCGCUUUUGUCAGGGAAGAAACGCACCGGUCUAAUACAUCGGUGUAAUGACGGUACCUGAAGAAUAAGCACCGGCUAACUACGUGCCAGCAGCCGCGGUAAUACGUAGGGUGCAAGCGUUAAUCGGAAUUACUGGGCGUAAAGCGUGCGCAGGCGGCUUUGCAAGACAGAUGUGAAAUCCCCGGGCUUAACCUGGGAACUGCAUUUGUGACUGCAUGGCUAGAGUGCGGCAGAGGGGGAUGGAACUCCGCGUGUAGCAGUGAAAUGCGUAGAUAUGCGGAAGAACACCGAUGGCGAAGGCAGUCCCCUGGGCCUGCACUGACGCUCAUGCACGAAAGCGUGGGGAGCAAACAGGAUUAGAUACCCUGGUAGUCCACGCCCUAAACGAUGUCAACUGGUUGUUGGACGGCUUGCUGUUCAGUAACGAAGCUAACGCGUGAAGU